rnacentral:lncRNA from 1 species
CAAAAAAAGAAUGGGUUGUAAGAAGGGCUAAAUAAUAAUGGAAAAUGAAAAUAUGCCAGCCGGCAAAGUGAAUGCAAAAAGCAAAAGAAUUGGUGGACGGUGAGAACAUUGCGCGAUAUUCGAGAAUUAUCUGUCCAUAAAAAAUAUAAUUUGCUGGAUCAUUUGACUAAUUCUUGUAGAGAGGGGGAGUGAGAAUCGGAGAAAGUGCGAUCGAUGAAUGAGAAACCCACCCAGCCUUGUUUCACUUGCAAUCGACUCUGCUGUUUUUAACCUGUCUAGCAUUUGAGAUCUAUCAUUUCUCCCUGAGCAGAUUCUUCUUGAGCUCUUCUUGGUACGUUUCACUUCACACACUCCAGAACAUGUUCCCCUUUUGUAUAUGUAUGUUGGUGUAAUUGUGUGCAUAAGUGUAAUUACUUUAUGUGCCCUUUUGAUAAUCUGUGAUCGGUUUGUCUUGAUCUGACGAAUCGAUUAAAAAAUUAUGACGUGAAUUGGGAUUGUUGUUUUGUUCUUUUAUUUCGUUUUUGCGCUCUCCUUUGUCGGGAUAUUUAGAUCGAAGAUUUAUUCUGACCAUUAGAGAAAGAUAAGGAAAUGAAUUAGUAAAUGGAAGUAUAGGCGAUACAAGUUUUGGGUUGGAUACCUUUUGUCCUCCUUUAGGAAAUGAAAUUAAACGCCAUUGUAUAUUUUCUUUGUUUUACUAGUUGCUUUCGUUAAUCGACUUUCAAGUUAUGAAUUUUAUAUGACGAGAUUCAAGAUCUUCUCACAAAUAGCCAUUUGGUACUGGUGCAAAGUAGUUAGCAUUUUAAUUCAUAGGUUG